rnacentral:lncRNA from 1 species
UUUGAAGUCCCUAAAUUUGUAUCAUGAAUACAAGGAAGGUCAGAUGUCACACUCCAAGGGUCCAUUUUUGAGUUUCAAAAUUGGAAUAGUUGUUGGGAUGUAGCAACCUUGUGGCUGUGCCAAGCCUUGCCUUGUAUUCAUGAUACUUUCUUCUGUGUCCACUUAUGUAAGAUGUUUUCACUAUAACGUGUUGCAUGCAAAGACUAGCUUUUAAAUACCGAAUGAUAAAUUUGGAUUCACACUCCAAGGGUCCAUUUUUGCAUUUCAAAAUUGGAAUAGUUGUUGGGAUGUAGCAACCUUNNNNNNNNNNNNNNNNNNNNCCUCUGUGUCGACUUAUGUAAGAUCACUAUAACAUGUUGUGGCAAAGACUAGCUUUUAAAUACCGUAUGAUAAAUUUGGAUUCACACUCCCAAGGGUCCAUUUUGCGUUUCAAACUUGGAAUAGUUGUUGGGAUGUAGCAACCUUGUGGCUGUGCCAAGCCUUGCCUUGUAUUCAUGAUACUUUCUUCUGUGUCGACUUAUGUAAUAUGUUUUCACUAUAACAUGUAGUUUGCUAAGACUAGCUUUUAAAUACAGAAUGAUAAAUUUGGAUUCUUGACCAGAUGUUUCAUUCUUUAGGUCAUGUGUAUCAAGAUGAACAAAAAUUGAUAAUAUCUUUAGCUUCUUAAUUUCAAAAUGUUCUAUAUGGAUAUGCUUUUAAUUUUUCAUCUUUGAAACCACAUAAUUCAUCAAGGGAAGCAAGCUAUCUUCAUACUCUGAUGAUCUUAUCUCACAUCAAAAUUUUCUUUCUUCGUAUCCAAAAAAUGGACUUCUCUUGGUACAGG